rnacentral:rRNA from 1 species
UACGUAGGUGGCAAGCGUUAUCCGGAAUUAUUGGGCGUAAAGCGCGCGUAGGCGGUUUUUUAAGUCUGAUGUGAAAGCCCAUGGCUCAACCGUGGAGGGUCAUUGGAAACUGGAAAACUUGAGUGCAGAAGAGGAAAGUGGAAUUCCAUGUGUAGCGGUGAAAUGCGCAGAGGUAUGGAGGAACACCAGUGGCGAAGGCGACUUUCUGGUCUGUAACUGACGCUGAUGUGCGAAAGCGUGGGGAUCAAACAGGAUUAGAUACCUGGUAGUCAAGGGCG